UACGAAGGGGGCUAGCGUUGCUCGGAAUUACUGGGCGUAAAGGGCGCGUAGGCGGACAGUUUAGUCAGAGGUGAAAGCCCAGGGCUCAACCUUGGAAUUGCCUUUGAUACUGGCUGUCUUGAGUCCGGGAGAGGUGAGUGGAACUGCGAGUGUAGAGGUGAAAUUCGUAGAUAUUCGCAAGAACACCAGUGGCGAAGGCGGCUCACUGGCCCGGUACUGACGCUGAGGUGCGAAAGCGUGGGGGAGCAAACAGG
rnacentral:rRNA from 1 species